UCUUGGCGCCUAUCCUAGUUUUUUUUUCCCUCUGUUUUUUAUUUUGGUUUUUGUGCCAAAUUUCCAUUCCCACUAACUGAAGCCCUAAUUCUUUUUCCCUCUACAGCCACAAUUCGCUCUCUCUCUCUCUCUCUCUCUCUCUGUCUCUCCCUCACCCAAGCUUCGAGUCAUAUCUGCCAUUCUGCUGUCUCGACUACCGCUGAUGUCAACAGAGACCCAGAUAUAGCCAAGCACGCCCAGAAGGGUCAAAUUGCCACAAUUGGAGUUCUCUCGGAGCUUCAUAUCAUUGCCGGUAGCUUUUACAGAUUUACGAGGAUGAUAUUUGCCUCUGUAUAUUGGAUACACAUCCGCUGAGUCGUGGGUAAGACACAAGGUCACAAGAUUCAGCGUCUAACAGUUCUACUGCUGUGGGUUUUGAUGAGAGAAUGUUGCUACAUUCAGAAAUUAUCAGCAGUGAAGAAUCUAGAGUUAAUAUUGGCAAUUUAGAGUCCAGUGCUUGAUAUUAGCUGGUUAGUAUAUUUCUCUUCAUCCCCAUAUUUUCUAUAUUUGUUGUUGCACAUAGAUGAUCUCGUACAAAAAAUCACUAAACAAGUGCGUCAAGAGUUUCAAGUGCAGCUUCAGCAACUACAUGCUCGAAUUGAAUUUCUGCAGAAUAAGGACACUAGCACAGAGUCUCUUAGACAGGUUGCUGAUGCAAUUAAUGGGCAUGAAAUUUUGAAGGCGUCUAUAAGAGAUGAAGUAACUCCAAAUGCAAAUAGUGACCAUACAUUAUUGGAGUAGAAUUCUCCAGUAACAUCCCCUUCACAAAAUGGCUCUGAAAGGCAGCUAUAUUUUCUGUGAUUCCAGCUAUCGUGUAACUAACCUCAGCCAUAUUAAUAGGUUCUCAUGGCAAAAAGAGCGAAGCAAAUGAAAGAAAGUGCAAAGCUCACAAAAUGACAAAGUAAAAUGAUGUACUUGUGAUUGUUGUUUUAUUUUAAGAGUGUGCUUAUAUUGUUCACUACUUGGAAAUUACAUUAUUUUCAUUUCAGUAUUUGUAUUUGAAUAUGGUACAAUGAAUCAAUGGAUAUAUUUAAGUACAUUUUUCAUG